GUGUGAGUCAUUCUGGCAGGACUCUUAAAGGCUUGCAGAGGGAACCAAGAGCAAAGGAGCAGAGACUAAGUCCCUAGGACUUCUACAAAGAGAACAACUUCAGGAUGCUGCUGCUACCUUUGCUGGGGACUUUGGUGUCCUGUGCUUAUGCCGCCACACUGAUAGACCCCGCCGCUGAAGAAGAAGCCUUGGAAUACCUAAAGCAGUUUGGAUACCUGCAGAAGCCACUUGAGAGUGACAGUGAGGAUUUCAGUCCUGAGGAAAUUGAGGAAGCUAUACGAAUUUACCAGCUGGCUUCUCAGCUACCUGGAACAGGGGUCCUGGACAAUGAUACACUGGAGAAGAUGAAGCAGCCACGGUGUGGAUUAGAAGACCCAUUUAACCAGAAGACUCUGCGAUAUCUUCUGUUAGGUCGAUGGAGAAAAAGGAACUUGACAUAUCGCAUAUAUAAUUAUACACCCGACAUGGAAAAAAAUGAGGUGAGGACUGCUAUCAAAUCUGCUUUUAAAUACUGGAGUGAUGUCACCCCCCUGAAAUUCAAGGAGGCCUCAUUUGGAAGAGCAGACAUAAGAAUUUCAUUCCACAAGAAAGGAGAGAGCUGCUCGCGUCCAUUCGAUGGCCCUGGGAAAGUUCUGGCACAUGCUGAUAUCCCUGAGCUUGGCACAGUACAUUUUGAUGAAGAUGAAUAUUGGACUGAAGGAAGCUACCUUGGAGUCAAUCUGCGCAUCAUUGCAGCACAUGAACUAGGCCACGCCUUGGGCCUUGGUCACUCUCGGUUUGGUAGUGCACUGAUGGCUCCUGUCUAUGCUGGAUAUAGAAAAAACUUCCGUCUCCAUGAUGAUGAUAUAAAAGGGAUUCAGGCUUUGUAUGGUAAAAACAGUAAAAAUAAAGAUGACAAAGAAGAACGUGUUACAACAACAGUUGCACCUACUGUCUCUCCGACUCCUACCAGUCCAAUUCCUGACCCAUGCCAGGACAACCUAGAUGCCAUGAUUCUGGGGCCUUUUAAAAAAACGUAUGCCUUUAAAGGAGACUAUGUAUGGACAGUCACUGACUAUGGCACCGGCCCUCUCAUGAAAAUCCAAUCCCUAUGGAAAGAGCUACCAGGAAACUUAGAUGCUGCUGUACAAUCGCAACGCACCAAGCGAACAUAUUUCUUCAAAGGAGACAAAUUGUGGAGGUACACUGAUUUUAAAUUGCACUAUGGAUACCCUAAAGUUAUAACUAGGGUCCCCCCGAACAUUGAAGCAGCCUUAUACUGGGAAGGAAACCAGAAGAUAUUCCUGUUUAAGGGUGAUCAGUAUUGGCAGUGGGACGAGUUGGCCUGGAGUAACCUGUAUCCCAAAAAAAUCUCUAGUCUGUUCACGGGUGUUCCUGGUAAGUUGGAUGCAGCUCUGACCUGGAAGAAUGGAAACAUUUACUUCUUUAAAGGAGACAAGUAUUGGCGAGUGAACAAGCAGCUGCGUGUGGAUCGUGGAUACCCCCUGAGCAAGUCUGAGCGGUGGAUGCAAUGCUUCAACAUGGAUUAAUGGCAGAAAUAAACGACAUUAUUCAUUUACAGCCGUCACCACAUGGAAAUCGGACUAUAGACUGAUACAUUUUCCGCUCUACAAGCUCAACGAGAAAGUAGCAGUUCAGUAAUCUCGAGACAAGUGAUGGCAAAAGAGACAUUUGUGAAGUAUUGUUAAACCUACAGUGUUAUAAGUAAUCAUUUCUUUUAAGACAAUGUAAGGAUAAGGACACUUCCUAUACCUAUCCAGCAGGUCUCGUUCCCGGGAGGUUAUGCUACUGUAACGGAUCGGUCAGCUCUUGGGCCAAGAGAAUGUGACAAUUACAAUACUGCCAUCUAUGGACAAACAUCAAUAGUGCAACAUAUGGCAACGUUUGAAACUAAAGGUUGAGACUUCUGCAAAUUCAGUUUGUAAAUAUUCAGCCAAUAUACAUAUAUUUAUAUAAAGCAUUGGUCCGCAGGUUGGAGACCACUGAUAUAAAGUAUUGCGUAGUCAUUAGAGAUGAGCGAACUUACAAUAAAUUCGAUUCGUCCCGAACUUCUCGGCUGGGCAGUUGAUGACUUUUCCUGCAUAAAUUAGUUCAGC